ensembl:lncRNA
UUCCUGCUCGCGAGCCUGCUGCAAUCAUCCCACUUAGAACUGCCAAGAGCCACGAGCCACCCGUGGUGCAGAAUCACACACUCCCAUCUAAGAGGUGGGGCAGUUUAUUUCCAGCCCCGAGGGCCAUGCCUUGCUAAUAGGCAGCUAAUCCAGGGGCCAGCACGACAGCUGGGAAUCAGAAAGAACGCAGAUCCAAGCCCAGUAAGUGCUGAUUUCCAGCCGGGCAACCAUGGACAAUUUACUUUUACCUCUCUGAGCCUCUAUUUGCUCAUCUGUAAAAUGGAGACAAGAAGACCUCCUUCCUAGGAUGGCCAACGAGACGGAAUUAAAUAAUCCCUUGUGGGCUUAGUCAAGCGCCUUGUCGCAGGACGAGCUCAGUAAAUGAGUGAUUGGGAUGACAAUGAUGACAAGCCCCCAUUGGGCUUCAGCAUCUUGAGGGUAGGUCUUAGAGCCCUUAAAUUCCCUUGGCACCCAGCUAAGGUCAAAGAAGGUCAAAGAAGCCUGGAAGGUGUGCGGAGCUGGGGCGAGGGGCCUGACUCCCUGCACGCGCCCCCCUGUCAGGCCGUGUACACCCCUGCCGAUACCUUCUCCCCAAAGCCGUAAUUAAUACCUGCCUCUUCCACCCCAGUCCUCGGUCACGUCGCCCCCUAGGCAAGGAGGACGCAUGCUGGCCCUUUGCCAUGGAAGGCCCUGGAGAGAUGCCAGGGUGGGCUGUGGGGGCUGUGUUGUUACCUUGGCAAAAAGGGCCAUAAUUAACCCGCAGCCUUCUCCUCUCAUUAAGCCUUCACGUUUAUACCUGAAUUAACUUUUCACAUCCAGUUAAGGUGCGUGGGAGCUUCUGUCCGCCACCGGCGUGACAAGCACAGCUGUGACUGUUGGAGGAAGUGGGGGCUGUGGUGACCCACCGCCCAGAGUGGGAGGGAUCCUGAGCUUUGGGUGGGUAUGGGGGAGGUCUCGUGAGUUUGCCAGCUCUGCCCUUUCCCCCGGGGCCCAAGCCGGCAAGGGGCAUCUGGAAGGACAGGAGGGUGCUACCUCCAUCCCAGGGGACAGCCAGAGCACCAGGCCCAUGUGGCAACGUGGGCCUGCGUUGACCUCUCUUCCCAUCUCUCCUGCUGAAACAGACCCUGGCCUCCCUCCAGGCUCAGAUUUUGCCAGGCCUGGUGGAGGCAGUGAAUACACCCAUUCCAAAGAGAGGGGCUUAUUAAGUGUCCCCCUCCAGCCUGAGUUAGGACCUAGUGCAGCAGACACCCAUGGCGCGCACGCCUGCACCCACAGACAGGUGUGGCUGGAGGCCUCCCCAGGCUCUGGUGUUUUCCAAAGGGGACCUGCCUAUCUUAACUCCCUGGACUCCUGCUCAUUCAAUUGCCUGCAUUUUCAGGGCACCCUUCUGGGGUAAAGAGUCAGCCACCUCCACUCUGGGAGCUGGGCCCUGUCAGGCCAUCGUUUUUCAGAGGCGGGGAAUAGGAGGCCACCCUGCUUACCCGGUGUUGUGACAUGAGAGGAGGAGUUAACGUCCCCACAAAAGGACACUGUAGGAUGGCCCUCCUCCUCCCCCUAUGCUCCCUCUCCAACCUAGUUCAGGACACUCAGGCCUUCUCAAUAAGCAGCUCUCCCCACCCCCAGCCCUAUUCAGUCCCUGGUCUGGGAACUUCCACAUAUAACGGGUGGGACCGAAAAUAAAUAAAUAAAUAAAUAACCCAUAAUAAAGAAAGAAAGUAAAAAAGAAAAAGUUCCAAUAAAGUACACACCUCGUUUUACUGUGCUUUGCUUUCUUGGGCUUAGCAAAUGUUCACUUUUUUUUCUUUUUUGUUUUUUUAGGGCCGCACCCAUGGCAUAUGGAGGUUCCCAGGCUACGGGUCGAAUCGGAGCCACAGCUGCCGGCCUACCCCACAGCCACAGCAACUUGGGAUCUGAGCCACGUCUGUGACCUACACCACAGCUCACGGCAAUGCCAGAUCCUUAACCCACCGAGUGAGGCCAGGGCUCGAACCUGCAACCUCAUGGUUCCUAGUCCGAUUUGUUUCUGCUGCACUGCAACCAAACUCCAAAAGUUCACUUUUUUACAAACAAGCUUUGUGGCAGCCCUGCCAUUGUCUGAGGAUGGUUACUAUUUCUUAGCAAUGACAGUAUUUUGAAAUUAAGGUCCAUACAUUGUUUUUUAGAUAUAGUGCUAUUGCACACCCAAUAGACUACAGUAUAGUCGAAUCAUAAUUUUCUAUGCAGAAACCCAAAGAUUGAUAUGACUCGCUUUAUUGCAAUAUUCACUUUAUUGCCAUAUUCGCUUUAUGGCGGUAGUCUGGAACCGAUCCCGCAAUAUCUCUGAGGUGUGCCUGUGUUUGCUUCAUGAUCUUUGUCCUCCAGUGGCUUAAAGUCUAGUGAGUGAGACAGGACAGACAACAUACGUAGCCCUGGUUAGCACGUGGGGAUGACGAAUGCUCAGCUAUGGUGAAUGGUUGUUUGCCAGGAUGAGUGUUCAGGACUCAAAUCACACCCUCACAGGAGGGAAGCUAUUGUGGGCUGGUUCUGACUCAUCAGAGAUUUCUCAGGGGAGGCAAAGUUUGGACCAAGCCUCCUUCGUGAGAGCCUCUUUGCCAGGCUGUGAGCUAAGUGCGUGACGCCCAUCUCACUUCGUCUCAUCUAAUCCUUACCACCAGCCCAUGAUCCGGGUGUUAUAAUUAUCACUCCCGUCUUAGAGAUGAGCAGAGAGCUCAGGGGGCACAGGGAACUGCCAAGGUCACCAUGCCAGUAAGAAGAAUUUUUGUUUGUUUGGUUGAUUGGUUGGUUUUGUUUUUUUUUUUUUGCUUUUUAGGGUCGCACCUGCAGCAUAUGAAAGUUCCCAGGCUAGGGGUCAAAUCAUAGCUACGGUUGCUGGCCUACACCACAGCCACUGUCACAACAACACAGGAUCCAGACCACAUCUGCGACCGACACCUCAGUUCACGGCAAUGCCAGAUCGCUGACCCCACUGCGCGAGGCCAGGGAUCAAACCUGUACGCUCAUGGAUACUAGUCAGAUUCUUUCCCACUGCGCCACAAUGGGAACUCCCCAGUAAGAUUUUAAGCUGGGCCUGUUGGACUCCUGAGCCCUGGCUCUGGAUCUUAAUUAAUGCCUUAUGGCCUCCUCCAACUUCCAAUGCACAUAAAAUUUCAGAGGAGAUGGGCUAAGAUCCAGGGCAUUCCUAGAAAGGCAGAGCACCAAGAAGAGGGAAGGUGACAACAGGUCUAAGCCUGCUUGGAGGGAAUCUCCAAUCCAGUGGUAAGACCUUGACUCUCUUUUCUGAGAGAUGUGUGCUACUGUCCGCAGCCCUAGGAGCUCAUAGGAUGGGAUAUCUUUGGGGUUCUUUGAUUUCCCAGGACCCUCUCUGGGAAACUUAGACUACUUUGGGGUAAGAUCUCCUUGCCCUUGUCCACUCCCUGUCCCCAAGAACUUUAGGGCAUUGAAGGUUUUAGAGACUCUGGGACACAGCUGAUCCAAUAUGUUCUACUCAAUUCAGAUCAAUAAACAUUUAUGUGCCAGACACAAAGUGCUAGGAAUGGUUAAGGGGCGAGCCUUGCCAUUAGGAAGAUUAUAGUCUAGCGGGAGUGAUAGACACAAAGAAAAAACAUCAAUAAGAAUGAUAAGUGCAGGGAUAGAAAGCAUAGUCCUCACACUUGAGACACGAACCCUGGAGGAAAGGACACAGGAGUCAAGCCUUGAGGGCUGAGCAGGUGAUGGGGUGGGGAGGGGAGAGAAUGGUACCCCAGGUUAGAGGAAAUCACUUAGGCCAGGUCAUGGAUGUGGGAAACAGGACAUUUUGUGCCUGAAUUGAUAAACCAAUCAAUUUGUUAGAGCAUGACCUCGGAGACAGGGAGUGCAUGAGAGGAGGCUGAAGAGGUAGGCAGGGAUGAAGCCAUAAAGGUUUUAUGAGGAGUUCCCAUUGUGCCAAGGCAGAAACAAAUCCAACUAAUAUCCAUGAGGAUUCGGGUUCCAUCCCUGGCCUUGCUCAGUGGGUCAGAGAUCUGGCUUUGCCAUGAGCUAUGCUGUAGGUUGGGCAGACAUUACUCGGAUCCAUUGCUGUGGCUGUGGCUGCGGCUGUGGCUAGCAACUGUAGCUCUGAUUUGACCCCUAGCCUGGAAACUUCCAAAUGCUUCAGGGCAGCUCUAAAAAGCAAAAACAACAACAACAAAAAAAGGUUUUGUGAGCCUGGAUCAGGAGCUUGGACUCAAUCCUUCAGAAGACUGGAGAGUCAGCAGUGUCUAACCUAGUUCACAUUUUAGAAACAUAACCCUGGAUAAAAGGAAGGCAGAGGCUUUCACUGGGCAAGACUGAGAACUUGGAGGCUGAGAAGGAGGAGACUGCUGCAUUUAACUCCAGAUAUGAUGAGGUCUCUGAUCAAAGCACAGGGAUUACGGUUGGAAAAGAAAGGACUGGGUCAAGAAACGCUUAAGAAGGGAGAGAGAUGGAAUAUCCCAGGGAGCAAGAAGGAAGAGCCCAAGGGCAGCUGACUUGGGUGAUGGAACAGGUGGUGUUGCCUUUCACUGAGAUCUGGAACACAGGGAGAGGAGAGAGUUAGUGGGGGCAAAUAAUGAGUUAGUUGGGUUUUGUUGGGCUGCUGAUGCUCAAGUGACAUCCAGAUGGAUGCUUCCAGGAGGUACCUGGAAUCAAACUCAGGCAAAAGACUGGAGAUAUAACUUUGGGAGACCUCAGCAAAGUGAUGGGGUUAGACCAAGAGAGUGGAUGAGCUCCGCUAUAGAGAUCAUGUCAAGAGAAAAGAGAAAACAUCCAUAAGCAGAACCCCUGGGAACCGCCAAGCUCAGGAGCUGUCCAGAUGAGGAAACAUCUGGAUGGGAGAUGAAGCAGACAUGGCCAGAAAGUUGGAAUCCGAGGGAGCAGAGGGGAUCAAGGAAGAAGGUUCCCCAAUGUCAAAUGUAGACAAGAGGUCGAGAAAGAUCAAGACUGAGAAGAGUCCACCAGACUUGGCAAAGUGGAGGUCAAAGUGGAGGUUACAGGAUCCUGGCAGGAGAGAGAUGGCAGACUUAAGUUGGGAAACUUCAGGAGAAUCUAAUAAAGGGUCUUGACAACAGUAGGGCAUGGCAUCAGGAAAGCCUUGGGAGGAUGCCGUGCCCUGGCAGGGGUAGCAGGGGAUGGUAUGUGCAGUUACCACCUUGAGCAAAGGGACAAAAAAGAGUGAAGAGUCAGCAAACCUGGAGGCAGGGAGGAUUGAGAGGAGAGGGCUGCCUGCCAAGCUUGUGGAGUGGGCAAGGGGACACAGCAAGCCUGAUGAGACCCCAGGUAGGGAGCAGGGGAGAUAGUCCCUGAUAUCACUUCCUCUUCCGGUCUCCAACCAAGGUUCCCUAUUGGGAACACCCAACUGUAGGCAGGUGAGGCAACAAAUGGACGUGAGUCCUCUGGGUCAGGAGGCUGGACAGUGGACAUGGAGGGACAGAGGAGAUCCCGGCAUGGAGGUCUCCCCAGAGCACAUCUGUGGAGCAACGGGAGAGGCUGGGGACCCAGGGGCAGUGGGGGUGCAUGUGGCGAAGGCUCUCCUUGCCUGCCAGCAUCCCCAAUCACCCUUCCUGUGCAAGGUCAAUUUCUCACUGGUGAGUCCCUCUCCCCCAGGGAAGAAGCCGCUCUUUCCCAGCCUCCCUUGCAGCUGGGCCACAGUCAUGUCCUGGUCUCCUCUAAUCACCCACACCAACGAGAAGCUGGAUGGAGGAGAGAGUAACGUGUGGAAACAGGUGCUGUGUGGAUCCCAUUUUCGGGUGGGGAUGGCAAGGAGGUGAUAGCUUCAGGGUCAGCAGUUCCAGGCUUUUCUGCAUCCAGAGUCAAUCAUCAGUGGUGCCAGCCACAGCUCAGGGCACAGCAGCUGGGCUUAGCAGAGUCUCCAGUGUAGACAGAGGUGCAUUACUCAGGUCUUCUCUGGCCUUCUGGAAGAUUCUUGGGACCCCUUCAUUUAUUUCUUUUCUGCUUAAACUAGCUAGAGUAGGUUCUGUUCCUUGUUAUUAGAACACCAACUGAUGAGGUAGGUGGGGAAAUGAGAGCAUGGGCAGAGGGAUGCCGACAAGUUUCCGGAAAAAGAAAGAAAGAGGGUAGAGCUGUAGGUCAAAGAAGAACACUUUUAGGAAAGGAGAGGAGUUCCCAUCAAGGCUCAGCGGUAAUGAACCCAGCUAGUCCACUGGAGGAUGCAGGUACGAUCCCUGGCCUUACUCAGCGGGUUAAGGAUCCUUCGUUGCUGUGGCU